GGCAAGCUACUAAGGGCGCACGGUGGAUGCCUAGGAGCAAGGAGCCGAUGAAGGGCGUGGCAAGCUGCGAUAAGCCACGGGGAGCCGCAAGCAGGCGUUGAUCCGUGGAUUCCCGAAUGGGGAAACCCGGCCACCGCAAGGGUGGUCACCCACCGCUGAACCCAUAGGCGGUGUGGAGGGAACCUGGGGAACUGAAACAUCUCAGUACCCAGAGGAAAAGAAACCGAAUGGGAUUCCCUCAGUAGUGGCGAGCGAACGGGGAACAGCCUAAACCAGUCGGGCGUGCCCGAUUGGGGUCGUGGGACCGACACAAGGGAGCGUCUUCCGCUUAGCAGAAGCUGCCUGGAACGGCACGCCAUAGAGGGUGAGAGCCCCGUAUGCGAAAAGUGGAGCGCCCCGUCGGGAUCCCGAGUAGCACGGGAUAAGUGGAACCCUGUGCGAAUCUGCCCGGACCACCGGGUAAGGCUAAAUACUCCUUGCUACCGAUAGCGCAACCAGUACCGUGAGGGAAAGGUGAAAAGCACCCCGGCGAGGGGAGUGAAAGAGAACCUGAAACCGUGCGCUUACAAGCAGUCGGAGGGCUAUGCCCCGCAAGGGGAACAGCCUGACGGCGUGCCUUUUGCAGAAUGAGCCGGCGAGUUACGCUUUGUGGCAAGGUUAAGCGCCUCAGGCGCGGAGCCGCAGCGAAAGCGAGUCCUCACAGGGCGACUCAGUCACAAGGCGUAGACCCGAAACCGCGCGAUCUACCCCUGGUCAGGCUGAAGCCGUGGUAACACACGGUGGAGGGCCGAACCGGUGUCCGUUGAAAAGGGCUCGGAUGAACUGGGGGUAGUGUGGUGAAAUGCCAAUCGAGCGCGGAGAUAGCUGGUUCUCCCCGAAAUGCAUUGAGGUGCAGCGUCACGGGCUAUGCUAUGCAGGUAGAGCCACUGGAUGGGCUAGGGGCCCCACCAGGUUACCGAACCCAACCAAACUCCGAAUGGCAUAGCAGGAACCGUGGCAGUGAGACAGCGACGGAUGAGCGCCGUUGUCAAAAGGGAAACAGCCCAGACCGCCCGCUAAGGUCCCUAAGCACAGGCUAAGUGUGAAAGGAUGUAGGCUCGCGUAGACAACCAGGAGGUUGGCUUAGAAGCAGCCAUCCUUUAAACAGUGCGUAACAGCUGACUGGUCGAAUGUGAGCCUGCGCCGACAAUGUAAGGGGGCUUAAGCCUGUCACCGAAGCGGCGGGUUCCCAGCAAUGGGAGCGGUAGGGGAGCGUUCUGCACGCAGUGAAGGUGGAGCGUGAGCACCGCUGGAGCGUGCAGAAGUGAGAAUGCCGGCACGAGUAGCGAGAAGACGGGUGAGAAUCCCGUCCGCCGAAAGCCUAAGGGUUCUUCAGGCAGGUUCGUCCGCUGAAGGUUAGGCGGUCCUAAGCCGAGGGCGAAACGCCGUAGGCGAAGGGCAGUGGGUCAACAUUCCCACCCCAGGGCGUGGAGCGAGAACGGGGACGCUUGAGAAUCGGUCGGGCGCAGGGUUGUAAGGCUGCGCGCGCCCCAGCGGCAACUCUGGGGCGCCGAAGGGAUCCCUCGUGGUGAACGAAGCGACCGUGACUCAAGCCGAGAAAAGCCGUUCCGCGUUGAAACGUCCUGACCGUACCGCAAACCGACACAGGUAGGCGAGGCGAGGAGCCUCAGGCGCGCGAGAGAAGUCCCGCUAAGGAACUCGGCAAAUUGACCCCGUAACUUCGGGAGAAGGGGUGCCUCCGCAAGGAGGUCGCAGCAAAGAGGGCCCGGCGACUGUUUACCAAAAACACAGCUCUCUGCGAAGGGGUAACCCGACGUAUAGGGGGCGACGCUUGGCCAAUGCCCGUAGGUUAAGGGGAGGGGUCAGCCGCAAGGUGCAGCCCCAAACUGAAGCCCGGGUGAAUGCCGGCCGUAACUCUAACGGUUCGUCACAGGGCCGUUGUAAAAUCUGGCUAUAUGCUGGAACAGCUCGUGUAUCCCACGCUACCGAGGAGGUGAAAACGCGAUGGGUGGAGCCAAUCAGCAGGAAAGACUCGCCCACACCGAAGCCGCCAAAUGGUUCCUCGCGGGGUUCAUCGAAGGUGAAGGCUCCCUGCUUGUCAGCAUCAAACACCACGAAACCAGCCGAUACGGCUACUAUGUGGACCCAGAGUUCCACCUUGUCCAACACACGAGUGGACGCAAUAUCCUGGAGCUGGCAAAGCAGGUCUUCCAAACAGGGCGCAUCUACCCCAAACCCGGCAGCCCAAACUGCCUCGUCUACGCCAUUCACUGCCGGCGUAGCCUCUGGGAAAAACUGGUGCCCUUCUACGAAAAGUAUGUCCUUCCCUUCGCCUCCCCGAACAAACGCGAAACCUUUCUGCGGUUUCGCGAAAUCCUGGAGAUGAUGAACCGCGGGGAACAUCGGACCCCUGACGGACUGGCACGCAUCGUCGAGAAGGCGUAUGCGAUGAACCCAGCCGCGAAGGGGAAGCAGCGCCUCAGACCGCUGCACGAGGUGUUGGCGAGAAUCCUCAGAGACCAUACGCCAGACACUCCGCCAAACGCGGAGUGAAGAUAUGGUCCAGUCCCUAUGGCGACAUAGGGGGCAACUGCCUAUGGUAGCGAAAUUCCUUGUCGCGUAAAUUGCGACCCGCACGAAAAGCGUAACGACUGGGCCACUGUCUCAGCGGGACACUCGGUGAAACUGUAGUACCCGUGAAGAUGCGGGUUACCUGCGGUAGGACGGAAAGACCCUAUGGAGCUUUACUACAGCCUGGGAUUGCAUUUCGGUGUGUCAUGUAGAGCGUAGGUGGGAGCUUCGGCGCCAAUGGAACACCACCCUUGACCCACUGAAGUGCUAACCCGGACCGUAAGCCGGUUCGGAGACAGUCUUAGGUGGGUAGUUUGACUGGGGCGGUCGCCUCAAUAGUGGGGCGCUCCGAUGGUAACAUCGGAGGCAAACUCGGCUAUAUGCUGGGAAGUCCGUCCCCUCACCCAAAGCCGCACCUCCGUGCUUUGGAGAAGGGGUGCAGAAUCCAGCGCUAGUGGCGCAUGCGCCACUGAAAAUGCGACUGGUGCGGACAAUCAGCAGGGAAGUCUUCGUGACCCCUCAACGACUGUACGCCGAGCAUCCACGCCAGUGGAUGGUGAGACAGUCUGAACUUCCGGGCGACCGGAAGCCUCCCCACAGGAGGCGUGCAGUCCGUCGCAAAACGAAGGAGGUGGCUAUGGCACACACACAUGCCAUCGAACCCUACAAACAGCAGCUCAAACUCACGCCUCUCCAGCGUGAGGUGCUGGUCGGAAUCUUGCUGGGCGAUGCCCAACUGGAAACCCAAAACCGCGGGCGCACCUAUCGCCUCAAAAUCGAACAGGGCGCCACACACGCUGCCUAUGUGCAGCACCUCUACCAGGUCUUCCAGGAGUGGGUGCUAACACCCCCCCAGCAAAAGGCAAAUGGCAACUGGUGGUUUCAAACGGUGAGCCAUGGCGCCUUCCGAUUCUACGCCCACCAGUUCUAUCAGGACGGGCGCAAGCGGGUGCCUCCGCUCCUCCAUCGCUGGUUGAAGCCCCGAAGUAUAGCCUACUGGUUUAUGGACGAUGGGUCUCUCAAAGACCCCAAAGCCAGGGCAGUGCUAUUCAACACUCAGGGGUUCCAGCGCGAAGAGGUGGAGCGGCUGGCGCAACUGCUCUCCGAACAGUUUGAACUGGAGGCAUAUUUGCGACGGCAAGCAGAAGGGUAUCAGAUCGUUAUCCCCGGAAGAAACCUCACCCGGUUUCUGGAACUGGUGGAGCCGUACCUGAUACCCGAAAUGCGCUACAAAUUGCCAGCGACUGCACGAACACAAUUGCCUAAACGGUAACGGAGGUGUUCAAAGGUCCGCUCAGCGCGGUCGGAAAUCGCGCGUCGAGUGCAAGGGCACAAGCGGGCUUGACUGUGAGACCUACGGGUCGAGCAGGGGCGAAAGCCGGACCUAGUGACCCUCUGGCAGUGCGUGGGCACGCCAGGGUUCAUCGGAUAAAAGCUACCCUAGGGAUAACAGGCUGAUCCUGCCCGAGCGCCCACAGCGACGGCGGGGUUUGGCACCUCGAUGUCGGCUCAAAUUUGGGCCCCUGAAGAGGUGACUCUUCAGGUAAAAUUCGGCUGAUAACGGGGAAGCCCUAACGCAAUCUACCCCCGAUUGGCGAGGGUAACCCCGUGGGAAGUCGAGGAGCUGAAAAUGCUGCAGGAGCCUUUGCACUCAGUCAUUAUCGGCAGCUUGCUGGGAGAUGGCUGCCUAUCGGCGAAUGGAAAAUCCUGGCGCCUCCGCUUCGAUCACAGUGUCAAGGCGUCAGAAUACAUCUGGUGGAAAUAUCACUUGCUGAAGCCGAUAGCCGCGAAUACUCCGCGAGCAACUGCCGUGUUUGACCAGCGUACUCAGAAGGUCUACGAGCAUCUGCGCUUCGAUACAUACACUUUACCUGAACUUGAGUGGUACGCGCAGCGCUUUCUCGAGAACGGGCGUAAACGCGUGCCCAGCAAUGUUGAAAGCCUUCUGAGUGAGAUGGCUCUUGCAGUAUGGUACAUGGAUGACGGACAUCGCCGCACCGAUUGCAACGCCUUGCGGAUCAACACCCACGCCUUUACUCGUGAGGAGAAUCAACAGCUUGCGCAUGCCCUUCUCAUCCGGUUUGGCUUGCGCUGCUGCCUUCAUUGUGUGGUAAAGGAACAGUGGGUGCUGUAUAUACCCGCAAGAGAGGCAACUCGGUUUUGCGAAAUCAUCCGUCCCUAUGUACCUCCAGCAAUGGAAUACAAGCUCCUCUGACCCCGUAACGACUGAAGGCUUUAUGCCUGAGAUAGGCGUCCUGCCUGAAAAGGCAAAUCUAUGGCGCCUAUCACACGCCGAACCCUUGACAAGGCGAUGGUCAAGGUGAUGCGAUAGUCUAUGCCACUGGAAACAGUGGAGGCACAUGCGUCGCAUCCUGGGGCUGAACAAGGUCCCAAGGGUUGGGGGGUUCACCCAUUAAAGCGGCACGCGAGCUGGGUUCAGAACGUCGUGAGACAGUACCUACCGUGCUGUCUAUAAAUCCGGCUAUAUGCUGGGAAGCCUGGUGAGUAUCCUGCGCUACUCGUAGGUAUACUUUAGCCUAUGAGUAAAAAUGCGUCAGGUGCAGGCAAUCAGCAGGGAAGGCCAGAUGAGAGUUUGGGCUACUACAUCGCUGGGUUUGUGGACGGCGAAGGCAGCUUCCAUGUAGCCAUCCAGCGUAAUCCCAGUACGAAACUGGGUUGGCAGGUCAUUCCAGAACUGCACAUCUCCCAGCACGAACGCAAUAAACAUGUGCUGGAGUUGAUACGCAAUACGCUGGGUUGUGGCUAUCUGAAGCCUAACGACCGCCACAAACCAAACGACAAAACCUGGGUGUUUGUGGUGCGAUCGCGCAAAGACCUCAUGGAAAAGGUUAUCCCUUUCUUUGAGCGAUAUCCACUUCGCACCACAAAACGCCACGAUUUUGAAAAGUUUGCCACGAUUGUGCGAAAGCUCCACAAGAAAGAGCAUCUCACGCCUGCAGGAUUGAAAGCCAUCCUGCAGAUUGCUGGGAGCAUGAAUAACAACGGAGCUUAUCGACGCAUCGAUAUCGAAACGAUACUCUCUCAUCUGGAACCCUCAGAGACUGUACGCCGGACACCCUGAAGCCCACAGGGUGAAGAUACAGUCCGAACUGCAUGGCGACAUGCAGAGGUGGGUCGAAAGGCUCACCCGCCUUGCGUCAAGCAAGGUCAGUAGGCGUCCCGAAGACGCCGAAAGUAACAGAUUGUCGGUCCCUAUCCACCGCAGGCGGAGGAGACUUGAGGGGAGCUGGCCCUAGUACGAGAGGACCGGGCUGGACCGACCUCUGGUGUACCAGUUGUCCCGACAGGGGCAGCCGCUGGGUAGCUACGUCGGGAAGGGAUAAGCGCUGAAAGCAUCUAAGCGCCAAGCCCACCCCAAGAUAAGGUCUCCCAUCCGGUCAACGGAGUAAGGUCCCCGGUAGAUGACCGGGUUGAUAGGCGGCAGGUGUAAGCGCAGUAAUGCGUUGAGCUGAGCCGUACUAAUCGACCGAGGGCUUGCCUA
rnacentral:rRNA from 1 species